AACGAACGCUGGCGGCAGGCUUAACACAUGCAAGUCGAACGCCCCGCAAGGGGAGUGGCAGACGGGUGAGUAACGCGUGGGAAUCUACCCAGUUCUACUGAAUAACCCAGGGAAACUUGGACUAAUACCGUAUACGCCCUACGGGGGAAAGAUUUAUCGGAAUUGGAUGAGCCCGCGUUGGAUUAGCUAGUUGGUGGGGUAAUGGCCUACCAAGGCGACGAUCCAUAGCUGGUCUGAGAGGAUGAUCAGCCACACGGGGACUGAGACACGGCCCAGACUCCUACGGGAGGCAGCAGUGGGGAAUAUUGGACAAUGGGCGCAAGCCUGAUCCAGCCAUGCCGCGUGAGUGAUGAAGGCCUUAGGGUUGUAAAGCUCUUUCAGUGGGGACGAUAAUGACGGUACCCACAGAAGAAGCCCCGGCUAACUUCGUGCCAGCCGCCGCGGUAAGAC
rnacentral:rRNA from 1 species